UUUUCGUUCAUUAUUCUGUACAUAAAUUAUGCCAUUAGUUUUCUCGUUUUACAUUAGUCAUUUUGGGGCCUUUUGUAGCUAUGUGAUAUGGGAUUUGCUCAUUGUUGAAGGCUGUAUGGUGACCUAUAGUUGUUAAUUUCUGUCAUUUGGUCUCUUUGGGAGAGUUGUCUCAUUGACAAUCAUACCACAUCUUCUUAAUUCUUAUGGAAGUCUGGCUCUUCUUUAUAAUUGGUGAAUAGUCCUGUUGACUGCAAAAACAAUGGGAAAAUUGGAAAAACAACCUUUAAUAGUGAUUCUUGGAAAGGCUGAUCUGGAAAAAUUCUAGACAGAAGCAAAUUUAG
rnacentral:lncRNA from 1 species